CACGUAGGGCGCGAGCGUUGUCCGGAAUUAUUGGGCGUAAAGAGCUCGUAGGCGGCCUGUUGCGUCCGCUGUGAAAGCCCGGGGCUUAACCCCGGGUCGGCAGUGGAUACGGGCAGGCUAGAGGUAGGUAGGGGAGAAUGGAAUUCCUGGUGUAGCGGUGAAAUGCGCAGAUAUCAGGAGGAACACCGGUGGCGAAGGCGGGUCUCUGGGCAACAACUGACGCUGAGGAGCGAAAGCGUGGGGAGCGAACAGG
rnacentral:rRNA from 1 species